rnacentral:tRNA from 1 species
GCCUGGGUGGCUCAGUCGGUUGAGCGUCUGACUUCAGCCCAGGUCAUGAUCUCGCGGUCUGUGGGUUCGAGCCCCGCGUCGGGCU